rnacentral:rRNA from 1 species
AGUGAACGCUGGCGGUAGGCCUAACACAUGCAAGUCGAACGGAAGCACAGUACGAGCGUGCUGUUCUGGGUGGCGAGUCGCGGAAGGGUGACGAAUGCAUCCGAAUCUACAUUUUCGUGGGGGUUCACGUAAGUAAACUUAAGCUAAUACAGCAUACCACCUACGGGUGAAAGCAUGGGAACUUCUCACCUUGCGCGAUUGAAUUAGCCGAUGUUGGGUUAGGUAGUUGGCGGGGUAAAGGCCCACCAAGGGGACGGUUCGUAGCUGGUCUGAGAGGAUGGUCACCCACACGAGAACUGAAACGCGGACCAGACUCCUGCGGUAGGCAGCAGACGGGAAUAGUAGACAACGGUCGCAAGCCUGACCCAGCCAUACCGCGUGUGUGGAAAAGGCCCUCGGGUUGUAAAGCCCUUUUUUUGGGAAAGAAAAGCAGCAGGUUAAUACCCCGCUGUACUGACGGUACCCGAAGAAUAAGCACCGGCUAACUUCGUG